rnacentral:rRNA from 1 species
CUAAAGAAUAUUCCGCAAUGGAGGAAACUCUGACGGAGCGACGCCGCGUGGAUGAUGAAGGUCGGAAGAUUGUAAAAUCCUUUUAUGACUGAGGAAUAAGCCGGGUGAGAGAAACGCCUGGUGGUGACUGUAGGUCAUGAAUAAGCAACGGCUAAUUACGUGCCAGCAGCCGCGGUAACACGUAAGUUGCGAGCGUUGUUCGGAAUUAUUGGGCGUAAAGGGCAUGUAGGCGGUUUUGCAAGCUUGGUGUGAAAUGCCGGAGCUUAACUCCGGAACUGCGUUGAGAACUGCAUAACUAGAGUCACUGAGGGGCAAUCAGAAUUCCAGGUGUAGGGGUGAAAUCUGUAGAUAUCUGGAAGAAUACCAAUGGCGAAGGCAGGUUACCAGCAGAUGACUGACGCUGAGGUGCGAAGGUGCGGGGAGCAAACAGGAUUAGAUACCCUGGUAGU